rnacentral:rRNA from 1 species
GACGAACGCUGGUGGCGUGCUUAACACAUGCAAGUCGAACGGGAUUUAGUAAACAGAAGCCUCGGUGGAAGAUUACUAAUGAGAGUGGCGAACGGGUGAGUAACGCGUGAGCAACCUGCCUAUGACAGUGGGAUAGCCUCGGGAAACCGGGAUUAAUACCGCAUAAAAUCGUAGAAACACAUGUUUUAACGGUCAAAGAUUUAUCGGUCAUAGAUGGGCUCGCGUCUGAUUAGCUAGUUGGUGAGAUAACAGCCCACCAAGGCGACGAUCAGUAGCCGGGCUGGGAGGAAUGACCGGCACACUGGGACAGAGACACGGCCCAGACUCCCACGGGAGGGAGGAGGGGGGGAUAUUGGACAAAUGGGGGAACCCCGAAGGCGCGAGGCCGCGGGAAAGAAAAAGGUUUUAGGGAUCUAAAGUUCUUUUCCCCGGGAAGAAAAUGACAGUACCCAAAGAAGAAGCCCCGGCUAAAUCCGUG